AUGGAGUCUCCACAUGCAAAUGCAUGCGCUGAAACACUUCUUCAGCUGGCCGGUGUGCUCUUAUCACCACAUUGCCCAGAACCACCUUACCAUCUGCGGAGACGGAAAUAUGUGACGGAAGUCGCAAAAAAACCAGCAUGGCCAGUAAAACGUCAAAGGUCAGGCGCUGAAAAUAUAACAGGGUAUAAGAAAUACAAAAUGUCUACUGCUGUCCAACCACCUCACAGUGAGGGACCUAAAACAGCGAGAUCAGCCCCUGAUCCAACUACGCAGACUAGUAAUAAUCGCCAAACUGCUCGUCACAGACAUCUUUCAGGUUAGCCAAGCUUAUAUCGUUGCAUGCUUUCCUGUUGUCAUAUUCUAAGUUUCAUCAUCAUUAACUCUAGCUCUUACUCUGUUCUGAACCAGGUCCUUCAAGGAUUACUAAAUACAAAGAUCGUGUAGUUGCAUACAAGCGUCGAGAACGCUCACAGAGUGCCAUUUGUGCUAUACUUGAUCAGCAGCUUGCAGGUUGACUUUCCUUCUAGUGAAAGUACUCUGAGCAGCUUUGUUUAAUUGCUGCAACUAUACUGCAACUGUAAACUCAGAUUAACCGAGCUUGAACUAACAAAAAAUGCAGGCACCCCAUCAAUUCCAUCCAUCGCUGCAGUGACCACAAGACCAUCAUGCCAACAAAUUCCUGCAAAUUCUCCAUCACUGACCCUAGCCAUGCAAGAUGCAGCAACGACACAAACGCCCAUGGCUUCAGGUGCAUCAUCACCUUGACUAUUUACAAUGCACUUCUCGAAAGUGAUACACUAUCUAAUUUUCAUCUUCAUGCUCAUUUACCAUGUAUUGACUUUGCAUCCGAUGCCAUGGCAGGAAAUCCACCACUUUGGGAUUCAAGUCCAGCAACAGCUAUGUGCAAUUCAAGUCACCAUGAUGACCUGCUUGCAGAAGGUAACACUUUAAACCCAUCUAUGAUCUGCCAAAUAAAAAUAAAUCCAUUGUACCAACAGCAACAAAACUAACUGGCUUCCUUAGCAGUUGCCGGCUGUGCAAGUUUCUGUGCUACCACUGGUUCCAACUACUGGAGAUGGUGCUACCGUUCAAGCAGAAAAUGUUCAUACACUGAUCCACAACAGAGGUACUUCCCUCACCGUCAAUGCGCAAUACUGAUUGAUGAAAGCAUAAUUUCUUGAUUGCCUCAUCCAGUGCAAUGAUUUAAUGCUUCGGUAAUAUUGUGACUCACUUCCAUACAACUCCAACCGAUGCAGAUGUUGAUGGGCAUACGGGUCCACAGAAUACAAAUAAUGGCAAUGUUGUGUCUGCCUCUGCUACUGAUGAAAUCCCUGCCAAAGGUACAGCCAGCUUCUAAUGCUUCAUCAUAGCUUAUAACCUUUCUGUUCCUUUCCAUUUGUGGUGAUCAGCCAAAUUGGUCGAAGAUAUGACUCAUCUUUCUAAACUCUACUCACUACUCAGCAGAUACCACGCGGGCGAGCUUCCCAAACAGCACACCUCUCCCAGCAAAUGCAGCUGACACUACUGGGAUGCAAAAAGAAUACCCAGAUGAAGGUACCAUUCUCCUGUCUUUACACCUUUGUGCAAAACAUCAUCAGGACUGCAGAGAAAAAAUAAACAAAUUUCCAGUUGCAGAUCGCAGAAGCACAUCUCCUUCUCCAAACACAGACUCACAUGAAAAUAUAUGCGCUCAUCCUACAAAUACAUCUCUGACUCCGUACCUGAUCAGCGAUGGUAAGUUCAAUCAAACUCACAUCCAGUUGGCUACGAUAACUUCAUCUGCAACAACCAACAUACCUCUAACAACAGAAACCUGCUGACUUCUAAUUCAGAUGGUCCUAGCAACUGCCAAGCGACCGGCGAUGACCUGCCCAUUUCAGCAACACCAAAGAUCGAGCCAGACGUUGAGGUUGCAAGAUUUCUGAGGAUAAUAGCAGACCAGCCCUCUUACUUCAAUGUCUAUGACUCCUACCAGAAUAUGGAAAAUACAAAAGAUACUGAUCGUGAGAGGUCAUGCACUGCUCCUUAUUAUAUCACAAUUGUCUUUUCAUUCAAACUAGUUCCCUAUCUUGAGCAACAUAUAUCAAAAUUUACCAACUGCAUCAUAAAUUUAUUAAUGCCUAUAUUCGUUGUCACAGCUUGUGGCACCAAAAAACUAUACUAUAUACCUGACCAAAACGUUUCCAUGCUAUCAACAGGAAAUGGAUUUCGUUGAAAACCCCCUUAUGCCUGGAUAUGACGGGCCAUGCUAUCUACCGGAGUUAUGGAGCAGGAAAAAUAAUGAAGAACAAUGGCAUGAAAGUAGUUGUUCAUGUUCUAACCACAAAGAACAACAAAUUGUACCCAAACAGAAAACCUCGCUGGAGAAGCAUAAUUGGCCCAUGUUUUGCGGAGGAAUUCGCCAACAACCCGGAGAAUCCCAACAUAGACAGAUUCUUCUCAAUGUUCGAUGCAACCAAACUCCCCUACAAACUGGAAGAAACAAAAAAG
rnacentral:rRNA from 1 species